UACGUAGGGUGCAAGCGUUGUCCGGAAUUAUUGGGCGUAAAGAGCUCGUAGGCGGUCUGUCGCGUCUGCUGUGAAAACCUAGGGCUUAACUCUGGGCGUGCAGUGGGUACGGGCAGGCUAGAGUGCGGUAGGGGAGACUGGAAUUCCUGGUGUAGCGGUGAAAUGCGCAGAUAUCAGGAGGAACACCGGUGGCGAAGGCGGGUCUCCUGGGCCGUAACUGACGCUGAGGAGCGAAAGCGUGGGGAGCAAACAGG
rnacentral:rRNA from 1 species